UACGUAGGGGGCUAGCGUUGUCCGGAAUCAUUGGGCGUAAAGGGCGUGUAGGCGGUCCGGUAAGUCCGCUGUGAAAGUCGGGGGCUCAACCCUCGAAUGCCGGUGGAUACUGUCGGGCUAGAGUGCGGAAGAGGCGAGUGGAAUUCCUGGUGUAGCGGUGGAAUGCGCAGAUAUCAGGAGGAACACCAAUAGCGAAGGCAGCUCGCUGGGACGUUACUGACACUGAGGCGCGAAAGCGUGGGGAGCGAACAGG
rnacentral:rRNA from 1 species